UGUCCCGAGUGGCAUCUGGUUGGUAGUGUCCGUUUUAGAUCAGCCAGGGACAAAGCAGCCCCUAGUUAAUAACCCCAGCUUGGCUUUGGAUCUGUGCCCAUGAUUGGUUCUUGCCUUGAACACAUGG
rnacentral:snoRNA from 1 species